CCUACGGGAGGCAGCAGUGGGGAAUAUUGCUCAAUGGGGGAAACCCUGAAGCAGCGACGCCGCGUGAAGGAUGAAGGUAUUCGGGAUGUAAACCCCUUUUAGUAGGGAAGAAAAUGACGGUAUCUAACCAAUAAGCCCCGGCUAACUCCGUGCCAGCAGCCGCGGUAAUACGUAGGAUGCGAGCGUUAUCCGGAUUUAUUGGGUGUAAAGGGUGCGUAGUCGGAAUGGCAAGUCAGCGGUAAAAGCGCGGGGCCCAACCUCGGUGCUCCGUUGAAAAUGGCGUUCUUGAGUGGGAGAGAAGGAUGCGGAAUGCGUGGGGUAGCGGUGAAAUGCAUAGAUAUCACGAAGAACUCAGAUUGCGAAGGCAGCAUACCGGCGUCUAACUGACGCUGAAGCUCGAAAGCGUGGGUAUCGAACAGGAUUAGAUACCCGAGUAGUC
rnacentral:rRNA from 1 species